AAGUCGUAACAAGGUUUCCGUAGGUGAACCUGCGGAAGGAUCAUUAACAAAUCGUAAUCGAUGACGAAAGUCAUCGGUGAGUGCACGGGCGCAAGCCCGUGUCACAUACGCCCGGUGCCGUAGAGUGCGCAUAGUGAUGUGUGCUACUCUGCUGGCCUGGUUGCAGUCUUCGGACUGUAGGCCGUACUACCUAGUGUAGUCGACCACAUAGACGCUUGUUUGUUUGACAGUACAGUUGCUUCAUAAUUGAUACAACUUUUAACAAUGGAUCUCUUGGCUCUU
rnacentral:misc_RNA from 1 species